rnacentral:rRNA from 1 species
CCUGCCUGUAAGACUGGGAUAACUCCGGGAAACCGGGGCUAAUACCGGAUGCUACCGCAUGGUAAAAGGUUCGUCACUUAUGGAUGGACCCGCGGCGCAUUAGCUAGUUGGUGAGGUAACGGCUCACCAAGGCAACGAUGCGUAGCCGACCUGAGAGGGUGAUCGGCCACACUGGGACUGAGACACGGCCCAGACUCCUACGGGAGGCAGCAGUAGGGAAUCUUCCGCAAUGGACGAAAGUCUGACGGAGCACGCCGCGUGAGUGAUGAAGGUUUUCGAUCGUAAAGCUCUGUUGUUAGGGAAGA